CAAGUACUCACUCCGUCCGGAAAUACUUGUCGGAAAAAUGGAUGUAACCAGAACUAAAUACGUCUAGAUACAUCCAUUUCUCCGACAAGUAUUUCCGGAUGGAGGGAGUAGCUA
rfam:Triticum aestivum genome assembly, contig: Triticum_aestivum_CS42_TGACv1_scaffold_623887_7DS